rnacentral:tRNA from 1 species
GCGGGCGUGGCGAAAUCGGUAGACGCACGAGACUUAAAAUCUCGAGUCCCUCAAGGACGUGCCGGUUCGAGCCCGGCCGCGCGAU